UUCAUGGAGUACUUAGAUAAGUUUGUCGUGGUUUACCUCGAUGAUAUUCUUAUUUACUCGAAGAACGAGGAAGAGCAUGCCGAACAUCUUAGACUUGUGUUAGAAAAACUCAGAGAGCACCGCCUUUAUGCCAAGUUCUCCAAGUGUGAAUUUUGGUUGCCAGAAGUGACCUACCUAGGCCACGUAAUCUCUGGUAAGGGCAUUGCUGUCAAUCCCGAGAGAGUUCAAGCCGUUCUCGAUUGGACUCCACCUGAGACCGUUAAACAAGUUAGGAGUUUCCUUGGUCUAGCCAGCUAUUGUCGCCGCUUUGUUGAAAACUUCUCCAAAGUAGCCAAACCCCUCACGGAACUUCUCAAGAAAGAUAAAAAGUUUGAGUGGUCCCCACAGUGUGAGUACAGUUUUCAGGAACUGAAAAGACGCCUGACUUCUGCUCCCAUACUUGUGCCACCGGAUUUCACUAAAGACUUUAUUAUCUACUGCGACGCCUCACGACAAGGACUAGGUUGCAUUCUUAUGCAGGAUCGUCAUGUGAUUGCCUAUGCAUCUCGACAGUUG
rnacentral:rRNA from 1 species